UACAGAGGGUGCAAACGUUGUUCGGAAUUACUGGGCGUAAAGCGCGUGUAGGCUGCUCUGCAAGUCGGAUGUGAAAGCCCUGGGCUCAACCUAGGAAGUGCACUCGAAACUGCAGAGCUCGGGUCUCGGAGAGGAUCGCGGAAUUCUCGGUGUAGAGGUGAAAUUCGUAGAUAUCGAGAGGAACACCGGUGGCUAAGGCGGCGAUCUGGACGAUGACUGACGCUGAGACGCGAAAGCGUGGGGAGCAAACAGG
rnacentral:rRNA from 1 species